CCCACCCCAGCCCAGAUACAUACACCCAUGAGAGAAAGUUCUUUCUCGGAGAGUUGGAAUUUAAUUUCUUUACCCUUUGAAAAAUUAAAAUAAGGAAUAACACUCAAUAACAUUGUCAGAAAUGGCAAUUAAGCUUUGCCUUGAGUGGCUGAUGAGGCCACUUCCAAUAUCAGGCAUGAACUAGUAAUAUCCUUGCCUGUAUCUAAGUGCAUUGUUAUAAUUAUUAACUAUAAAGCAAAUGGGGUUUGUAAGGGAAAAACAGUUUUAAUUAUUUAAUAUGUUAGAACAACACAGCCUUGCUGAUGCCAUUUCUGCAAAUUCACAUCUAGCAUCAAAUAGGCUGUACAUACAUAACUUGCUACCUCUCUGCACGGACUGUAAUUUUAAAGUCUGGAAAACCAUAUAAUUAUUACUUCAAGUGAAGAGGGCUUCAGAGUGUAACUGCUAAAAAGGACGUGUUCAAAUGAAAGUAAACACAUACUGAGGGACCAGAGACAGGACUGUGAAGUGUCAGGCAAUGGAACUACAUCAGGGAUUUCAACACUUGAAUCAUGCACUGAUGAUCUAUUUUGGUAUCUUUCUUUUCUUUUAUAGACACUGUUUCAGAAGAGCCUUAAUUCCUCUUUUGGCUGAUAGAGUUUGGGGAAAGAGUCAUCUUUAAUAAGAUGGCUGUAUGUACUAAAGAGAAGAGCGCAUAGAACAGAAACACUGAACUUUGAAACCAGAAGGCAUGAUUCAAAUCCAACCACAGUCUUCUUGAUUACCACAUACGUCACCAAGCUUGAGAAUCUCUCUCCAGGUCAGUGGACUUACAAAAUACAGUCUGUCCCACAGACACGUGACAUUAAACCAUUUGGCUCGUGUAAAAGAACUGCAAAUAACGAAGCUAUGCAUAUUCAUCUUAGAAAAGGCAAACCUAGAGGAUGUCAUUGUCCUCCAUCGUCUGCCAGGCCAGACAUUUCCUGACCCUAUGAGAGGAGGAAAGAAGAGAGGAGUAGAGGUGGAAAGAAAGAGUCAUUUGCAUAGACAGACAAUGCUUUUGAGAAAAGGCAGAAGAAAAGUGCAUGAAUUUCACUUUCCAGGGCAGGUCCUGAGAGAUGGCACGUACUUCUAGCCAGUAAAUAAAUGACUGAUGGUAAAAAACCACAUGGCAGUUGUCAUUUGUAAGGGAAACAGAAGAAAAGGGGAAAGAAACUUUCAAUAUUCUCAUGGUCUGAACAUUCAAGAAUUUCAAAAACUUCUUUAUUUUGAAAUUAUCUUUUAAACUGUUGAGCUGUAUUUCUUGCAUGUGGUACAGAGAUUAAAAUAACUGAAUAUCAUUUACUAGCAUUACAAUUGUAAAAGAAGACCCUGAUAAUGUCUAUAUUUUAGUAAAUUCAAAGUUCAUUUGUUACAUGGCACAGCACUUAUUUUUAGAAGAAUGCUCUGUAUUGUGCAUUAUAUAAUUGCUUGAUUUUCUUUCAAAAUUUUGUUUUGUUUUUUAAUACCUUGAACAACACCUUGUACAUUAUGUUCAAUAAUUAUAUAUAAUGCUACAUAUUUUAACAUUUUUUAUAAGAAAGGUAAAAAAUAGUAUAGACCUUAGCAAGUCUUUAUUUCUACUAAAAACUACCCAAAAUAACUUAAAUCAGCUUCAUCCAUUUAUAUAAAAUAAAAAAUAAAGACAUUUCUUGUUUUGUUAUUUUUUUGUUCCUCAUCCAAGGAUUUGUAUUUUGUCAGGACAAUUUUAAGAAAAACACACACACACACAAUAAUGUAUCUUUCAUCAUUUUAUAAAAUAUAUAUCAGUUCAAAUUAAAUUUAAUAAGCAGGCAUAUAUUGUAUGUAUCAAAUACAUAUGCAACAAUGUUCU
rnacentral:lncRNA from 1 species